rnacentral:rRNA from 1 species
UACGUAGGGUGCAAGCGUUAAUCGGAAUUACUGGGCGUAAAGCGUGCGCAGGCGGUUUUGUAAGUCUGUCGUGAAAGCCCCCGGGCUCAACCUGGGAAUUGCGAUGGAGACUGCAAGGCUUGAAUCUGGCAGAGGGGGGUAGAAUUCCACGUGUAGCAGUGAAAUGCGUAGAGAUGUGGAGGAACACCGAUGGCGAAGGCAGCCCCCUGGGUCAAGAUUGACGCUCGAUGCACGAAAGCGUGGGGAGCAAACAGG